UGGAAAGCCCCAGGCCUGGUGGCUGAGAGCACAGCUUCCAAUAGACUUGGGUUCAAAUCCCUGACCAGUGGGCUAAACUCAGGACACGGAAGUCGGUUUCCUUUCCACUGAGCUUCCUCCAGGGAUGGAGAAAUGAGCCAUCCCCGUGUUGCUGUGCUUGGGCUGCUGGUGGUUUGGGACAGGUGUUGCAGCAGAAAGUUCAUUUUGCUGAAAAUACAUCGUAUAUUUCCCCCAAAUGCCUAUUCUAGUUAAUAUUCUUUUUCUUUUUUGGCUGCACCUGAGACAUGCAGAAGUUCCCAAGCCAGAGAUCAAACCUGCACCACAGGAGUGACCUGAGCCACUGCAGUGACAAGGCUGGAUCCUUAACCUGCUGCAUCAAAAGAGAACUCCCCUAUUCUUUUCCUGAUUCCUUUAUGUCUGUGAAGACCCUCCACCAAGGCUCUCGGGCCUGGCAUCUGGCAGCCUCCCCCAGCUUUGAGGAGCCCCAGUGGGUGUCCCCUCUGACACCUGUCCUCGAGGCUGAGAUGUGGACAUACCUGCAUGCUGGCGGAUGGAUAUUUCAUUCAUUCAUUCAUUCAUUCAUUCAUCAGUGUCUUAAUGAGCCUCAACAACAAGCCAAGGUCUCUGCUCUUCUGGAAACUGUGUCCUAAAGGGGGAGACAGCUGAGCAAAUAAUCUCAGGGCCACCGCUUGUGAUUCAUGGAACAACAUAGGCUAUUGAGGGAGAGUAAUGGGGAACCCAUCAGAGCAGGCCUCUCAAGGGGCCUCUUAGUGGGCCUGAAGCUGUGCCCUUAGGGGAGGAGGGCUCCAGGCAGGAGCACAUCUGUCUCCAAAGCACCCCCUGCAGUUGCUCAAAACAGAAUUUGAAACCUCUGCUCCACCUCUGCCUAGUUUCCCUAGGUCGGGGGGACCCCUCCAUCCAGCCAACUGUGCGCCCAAAGCCUGGAGGUCCAGCCGUACACUCCUCUGGCCCACACCUCCAGUCACCAAGUCCCGAGGAUUGUCCCUGGAACUUGACAGCGUCACUCUGCCUCCACCCUGUCCCAGAUGCCACCUUCUCUCUCCCCCCACCCCCACUGGUUCCCUGGUUUCGUUCUUGUGCUCUUCCCAUCCCACGCCUGCUGGGAGUGCCACAAUCGCUAUAGCCCCAGGCUGGCUGGCGACGGAUAAAGGGAGAUGUGGCAGAAACCGGCUCUCCCCCUCCGUCCACUGUGCUCCAGCUCGACCCCACCUGCCAGGCCCUCGGGGGCUGAGAACAGUUCUCUCCGCUUCUACCUCCUGCAGCAAACUGUCCUCAGAACUGCUGCCACAAAAAGCAUUUUGCAGCGGUGGAGCCACUCUAGAAUCCCCCCAAACAUCCCCUAAUAGGGGGCUCCCUCGUCUGCUUGGCCCACAGAAGGGAGGGAGGUCCUCUAGUCCUGCUCUUAUUGCACGAAGAGGUCAGCACAUCAUCAGCUAGCUGGUGAGGAAGCUGGGGUGCUAGCGGUGAUUUUCCAAACUUUUUAAAUCAGCAGAUUUUUUUCCCCUUGACAUACAACCUUGAGCACAUGAGAACUGAGCUUGGAGCUCCCGUCGUGGCUCAGAGGAAACGAAUCUGACUAGUAUCCACGGGGACGCAGGUUCGAUCCCUGGCCUCGCUCAGUGGGUUAAGGAUCCCGCGUUGCUGUGGCUGUGGCGUAGGCCGGCGGCUAUCAUUCUGAUUUGACCCCUAGCCUGGGAACCUCCAUAUGCUGCAAGUGGGGCCCUCAAAACAAAAAAAGAUAGAAGACAACUGAACUUUUCUGCUAGAAGUGCUGCUGGGUACCCUGAUCGCCGCCUUUCACCCGCCCCUCCCUCUGAAGUUGUGGGGGGAAGGGGGACAGAAUGAAAAUCAUUUCUUUCUUUUUUUCUUCCUUCCUUCCCUCCUUCCUUCUUCCUGUCUCCCUCCCUUCCUAAGAGAUAGCUAAUAAACCCUUUAUUUUAGAAUCA
rnacentral:lncRNA from 1 species